UGUGGUCUCGCAAUUGGAUACUUGGCGAAACGCCAAGCUAAUACAUGAAUUAAGGGACGCGUUCUGUUCCGGCGGUGGGGCAACUCGCCGCCUUGGCGCGUCCGGCGAAUGAAUGAAAGUAAAACCAACGCCUUAACCGGCAGUAAACACUUUAGAAGUGCUGACUCAAUUCAUUCCGUGCGAAAGCUGGGUUUUUUUUAACCGGGCGUCUUUUGACAAACAACUGCCCUAUCAGCCAGUGAUGGCCGGGUAGGGAACUGCCAGGGCGUUGACGGGAGCGGGGGAUUAGGGUUCAAUUCCGGAAAGGGAGCCUGAAAAAUACCUACCACUUCUACGGAGGGCAGCAGGCGCGCAAAUUGCCCAAUGUCAAAAAAAAACAAUAAGGCAGCGAAAAAAAAUAGAGCCAAGAGCGCCUUUGGCGUUGUCGUUUUCAAGGGGGAAUAUUUAAACCCAUCCAAAAUCAAGUAACAAUGGGAGGACAAGUCUGGUGCCAGCACCCGCGGUAAUUCCAGCUCCAAAAGCGUAUAUUAAUGCUGUUGCUGUUAAAGGGUUCGUAGUUGAACUGUGGGCCUUUGAGGCGCAUUGGUUUUUUGUCCCAUCCACUUCGGAUCGGUGACCCAUGCCCUUGAGGUCCGUGAACACACAGAACCAAGAAACACGGGAGUGGUACCUUUUUUUCCUGAUUUUCGCAUGUCAUGCAUGCCAGGGGGCGCCCGUGAUUUUUUACUGUGACUAAAAAAGUGUGACCAAAGCAGUCAGUCGAC
rnacentral:rRNA from 1 species